CAGCCGCCACGGUAAUACGUAGGGUGCAAGCGUUAAUCGGAAUUACUGGGCGUAAAGCGUGCGCAGGCGGUUAUAUAAGACAGAUGUAAAAUCCCCGGGCUCAACCUGGGAACUGCAUUUGUGACUGUAUAGCUAGAGUACGGCAGAGGGGGAUGGAAUUCCGCGUGUAGCAGUGAAAUGCGUAGAUAUGCGGAGGAACACCGAUGGCGAAGGCAAUCCCCUGGGCCUGUACUGACGCUCAUGCACGAAAGCGUGGGGAGCAAACAGGAUUAGAUACCCCCGUAGUCCCUGUCUCUUAUAC
rnacentral:rRNA from 1 species